rnacentral:lncRNA from 1 species
UGGUGGAGCUGGGUGUUGAAGGAGACGACGAAGAGUGGGGUGUGGUUGUUGUCCGCCGGACGAAGCAGAAUCCGAUGGGGUUCGUUUGGACGUGAACUGAGUGGUCAUUUGGGCGGAGAAGAUGAAGCAACCCCAACGCCCAUGGCUGGAGCUCGACGAAGCAAGAGGCUGGGUGAUGGUGGUCUUUUGAAGACGAAGCAGAAGGCGAGGUGCUAGGAUCUCGAGGGUGUUGUAGAAGACGAUGCAGCGGCAGCGGGGUUGUUCAUGGCUGGUCGCUGGUUGAAGAUGUGAGUUGAGUGGUCGUUUGAGAAGAUGAAGGUGAAGGGGCAGCCAUUGUCGAGCUUGAGCUAGACAUGGAGAAAACGAAGCUGAAGGGGAGGUCGUUCAUGGCUUGGGGGGGUC